UAUGCGUAGUGCUGGAGCAGAAUUUCGGGA
rnacentral:piRNA from 1 species